GCUGUGUCUUUCGGAGGAUCGUGGCCCGGGUCCGGCGGAGCGCGCGAACCCGAAAUCAGCUUUGAAUCGCGGACGCCAGAGCCUGGAUCCUGAAGUACACCACCGGUGGAGAGCCCAGAGGAAGAAAGAAUGGCUGUUACAUAUUCAAAAGCAAAGUCCAAGCUCUGCCUUUUCCAGAUUCUGUGUUUGUCUCAGAUAACAAUCCAGAAGAGGAUCACUCAUUUCUUACAGCUCUGAGAACCAUG